rnacentral:rRNA from 1 species
UAUGGCCAUUACCACCCCGAACACACCCGAUCUCGUCUGAUCUCGGAGACUAAGCAGGGUUGGGCCUGGUCAGUACUUGCAUGACAGAUUCCACUGAAAACAGUGAUGUAACCAGUU